rnacentral:rRNA from 1 species
UACGUAGGGUGCAAGCGUUGUCCGGAAUUAUUGGGCGUAAAGCGCACGUAGGCGGACCAGCAAGUCGGAUGUGAAAUCCCCAGGCUCAACCUGGGAACUGCACUCGAAACUGUUUAUCUUGAGUGCCGGAAAGGAAAGCGGAAUUCCUGGUGUAGAGGUGAAAUUCGUAGAUAUCAGGAGGAACACCAGUGGCGAAGGCGGCUUUCUGGACGGUAACUGACGCUGAGACGCGAAAGCGUGGGGAGCAAACAGG